rnacentral:rRNA from 1 species
CGUAGGGUGCGAGCGUUAAUCGGAAUUACUGGGCGUAAAGCGUGCGCAGGCGGUUUUGUAAGACAGAUGUGAAAUCCCCGGGCUCAACCUGGGACCUGCAUUUGUGACUGCAAGGCUAGAGUACGGUAGAGGGGGAUGGAAUUCCGCGUGUAGCAGUGAAAUGCGUAGAUAUGCGGAGGAACACCGAUGGCGAAGGCAAUCCCCUGGACCUGUACUGACGCUCAUGCACGAAAGCGUGGGGAGCAAACAGGAUUAGAUACCCUGGUAGUCCACGCCUAAACGAUGUCAACUGGUUGUUGGGUCUUUACUGACUCAGUAACGAAGCUAACGCGUGAAGUUGACCGCCUGGGGAGUACGGCCGCAAGGUUGA